rnacentral:SRP_RNA from 1 species
ACCCGGCACAAUGGCGGGUGCCUGUGAUCCCAGCGCCCAGAGCGGCUUAGACCAGCAAGUCGCUUGAGUGUAGGAGUUCUGGGCUGCAGGGGACUGUGCCGAAUGGGUGUCUGCACUCAAGCGGCAUCAACAUGGGGGGAGCCCGGGGUCCUCAGGUUGCCUAAGGAGGGGCGAACCGGCGGAGGUCUGGAACUGAGCAGGUCGAAGCUCCCCUGCCGCUCAAUAGUGGGAUAGCCCCUGUGGCGCAGCCUGGGGGAGACCCGGCCUCUUGUUAUGCCGCCCU